rnacentral:rRNA from 1 species
UGAGGAAUAUUGCGCAAUGGGCGAAAGCCUGACGCAGCGACACCGCGUGAAGGAUGAAGGUUUUAGGAUCGUAAACUUCUGUUAAGUGAAAAGAAAGAGUCGUCUCUAAUACAGACGAAAGAUGACGUUAUCACUAAAGAAAGCACCGGCUAAUCUCGUGCCAGCAGCCGCGGUAAUACGAGAGGUGCAAGCGUUAUUCGGAAUUACUGGGCGUAAAGGGUGCGUAGACGGUUCAUUAAGUCUUUUGUUUAAGACCCCGGCCUAACUGGGGACCAGCAGAAGAUACUGAUAGACUAGAGGAUGGAAGAGAGAAGCGGAAUUCUCGGAGUAGCGGUUAAAUGCGUAGAUCUCGAGAGGAACACCGAUGGCGAAAGCAGCUUCUUGGUCCAUAUCUGACGUUGAGGCACGAAAGCGUGGGGAGCAAACAGG